GUAGUCCACGCCGUAAACGAUGGCCACUCGGCCUUUGGUGGCGGAAUCUCCGUCGCUGGGGGCCUUAGCUAACGCGGGAAGUGGCCCGCCUGGGAACUACGAGCGCAAGCUUAAAACUCAAAGGAAUUGACGGGGACCCGCACAAGCGGUGGAGCGUGUUGUUUAAUUCGAUGGUAAGCGAAGAACCUUACCCAGGUUUGACAUGCCACUGCAAGCCGGUGAAAGCCGGUCGCCUUCGAGGGUGUGGCACAGAUGCUGCAUGGCUGUCGUCAGCUCGUGUCGUGAGAUGUUGGGUUAAG
rnacentral:rRNA from 1 species